rnacentral:tRNA from 3 species
GGGUGAUUAGCUCAGCUGGGAGAGCACCUCCCUUACAAGAGGGGGUCGGCGGUUCGAUCCCGUCAUCACCCACCA